AACCUUUACACUGCACGCCAGUGCGAUAAGGGGACUCCGAGUGCGAGGGCAUAUCGUCCUCGCUUUUGUGUACCGUAGGGCGGUACACGAACAAGAGCUGGGCAAGACCGGUGCCAGCCGCCGCGGUAAUACCGGCAGCUCAAGUGAUGGCCAAUUUUAUUGGGCCUAAAGCGUCCGUAGCUGGCCCUGAAAGUCCGUCGGGAAGUCCACACGCUCAACGUGUGGGCGUCCGGCGGAAACUUCAGGGCUUGGGACCGGAAGGCUCGAGAGGUACGUCCGGGGUAGGAGUGAAAUCCCGUAAUCCCGAACGGACCACCGAUGGCGAAAGCAUCUCGAGAAAACGGAUCCGACAGUGAGGGACGAAAGCUAGGGUCUCGAACCGGAUUAGAUACCCGGGUAGUCCUAGCCGUAAACGAUGUUCGCUAGGUGUGGCACAGGCUACGCGCCUGUGCUGUGCCGUAGGGAAGCCGAGAAGCGAACCGCCUGGGAAGUACGUCUGCAAGGAUGAAACUUAA
rnacentral:rRNA from 1 species